CUCCCCCCACGCGUCUAACGCGAAGCAGUUCCUGGCCUGGCCCUGCGGCGAGGCUAUCCCCGCUCAGAGUGCGUGGGCGCAGGAGACCAGCCUGUCCCUUCCCCCGCAGCUGCACCGAGCCACAGCAGUCAUAGGGAAUUGGGGACAUGAGACUGACUGUGCAUCCUCGGAAUGGAGGUGUAGCCAAGUCAGGAGGGAGAGGCCACCCUGGAAGAUGGUGGCAUUGAAGAAAACACUGGGAAGGAGUCCAACGUUCAAAGGACCUUUAAAGCUCUCUGGUCUCUGCAUUAAAAGAAAUAAGGGCUGUACCAAUGGACACGCUGCUGGGCGUCUGUACGGAGCUUCCUGGGAGUCAUUCACCCUGCCUUUCUGAUUAAGCUCAUAAAUGUGAAUGGGAACAGCCUAGAGUGAGCCACAUGAACCCAACCCACAUCAGCUCUGUCUCAGAGGUUCUAGGUUAUUGAUCCUGAAGACUGAACCUGUGGAGUAAAAGAGGAGUGAGGGGACCAGGUUUAUGGAGAACAGACAGGGGCAGGCCAAGGAGGAGAUGGCCAGGGUCUCUGAAGACAGACUGUGUCAUAGUUACCCUUCUGUUGCUGUGAAGAGACAUGUGACCGAUGGAGCACGUACCGAGACUCUCAGCAUCGGAUGGGGUGAAGAAACAAAAGAAAUCCAAAGACAGAAACGACAGGAAAUGAGGAUAUUGAAAACUGACACUACUAUAUCUACAUUUGGUUUAGGUUUUUUUUUUUUCCUUUUUGGAAGUUGUAUGUAAGAGAAAAAAAAUCACAAAAUGCUUUCAUUUCUCUGUGAUUGAGCAAACUCGUAAAAUAUUAAAGUAUUGAUUAAUAAUUGAUUAGAACUAACCUCACUGGAGCCAAUCAACCAUUUGGCAGGAUCGCUUUAAACUUUUAGGGGCUUUUAGCCCCCCUGGCUUCUAACCUUCCUCUUGUCUGAUUCAUUCAGGACUGAGCAGCGCUUCAGUCUGUUGGACAUGUGAUGUCACACUAUCCCUAUAGAACUGUGAGGUG
rnacentral:lncRNA from 1 species